rnacentral:lncRNA from 1 species
AGACAUAACAAGUUUCAUUAUUACUAGAAAUUAGGUUAUGAUACAAAUUUGUUUUUACAAAUAUUGAUUCAUUUAACUAUUUACAAUGGUUUCCCUUAACAUUGCAAUUUCAAGGUCACUUUCACUGUUAGAAAAACUCGAUUCAUCUCUAUCAAAAUGGCCUGAAAAGAUUGGCAUGUCGAGUAUAUUCUCAAAUUGUCAAAAAUCAUCAUCAUUUGACCAAGCAUGUUUUCGAAUGUAAUUAUGCAAAACCAUUGUUGCAAUAACUUACAAGAAGAAACAGAAAAUAUGGUAGCAAGAAGAAACAGAGAAUAUGGGAAUGAAAAGAAAUUACUUACAAGAAGAAACAAAGAGACUUUGCGCUUCACAGGCUUGUCGGUCGUCGGAGGAGUUGAAGAGCUUCACAGAGAAUUUGGCUAUUUUCUUCACAAAUCUGAAAACAAAUAAGGUUCGGGAAGGAAUUAGGCCAAAAUUUCAAGGAUAAAAUGGUAAAAAAAUAAAUAAAAAUAUGCCUAUUUUCCCAAUUGUCUUUAAUUGCUGCUAAAAACUUCAGUCCCGUUUCAGCACCAGCAAUGAGAUUGAAAUGAAAUUUCACUGCACUGGACUGGUAAACCAAGCGGCAAUUCAGUGAGGUUGGGUAACCCAACUGAAACUCACUGGUGAAAAAAGCGGUACCAAAGGCAGCCUUAGUCUCAACAAAUUAGUUUCAUCUGCAAUAUGGUUUGAGUCCUGCUUUGCUCUUAGUUAGAUGGUAGUUUGCUCUCUUUUUAUAUGGUUUGGCCAUCUACCAAGCGUUCGUACGGUAUUUACUAUAAUUUCUAAUGGCCUUUCCAUUAUUGUUGAGACAUUUUAAAUUUCUUUCUUUAUAUUAAUGUCUAUUAAAGUUUAUUAUACCUGUAUUCGUUGCAUUAAACGUUUGCUUUAUAUAUAUUUUAAAAUAUUUUAGCCCAAAAAUUUAAAAUUUUAAUAUAAAAAAUAAUUUAAAAAACUUAUCACUUUCAUUUCCAAAAAUUAAAAACAAAUUCAAUCAAGAUGCUAAUUAUGAAAUAUACUAGUUUUGUCAUUUAUGUUGAAAACUUAACAAUAUAAUAAAAAACAAUUUUAAUAUGAGUCCUACGCAAGGCCUAUUUAGUAGUGCUAAAAAAAAAUAUUUCUGAUUUCAAAAGUACUAUUGAUAAAAAAGUUGUACUAAAUAAGCUUAUUUUGAUUGAAAUUUUUGAAUUUUCACCCUCCAAUACAUAGCAUUUUCUUUUUUUUCUUGAUACAAAAUUAAAAAUAUAUUAAAAUCAUUAAUUAAAAAUAAAAAAAAUAUUUUAUAAAAUACUAAUUACAAACAUUUAAUGGUUAUAUUUAAAUAUUUAAAAUAUAAUUUAUAUAUUCUAAUUAAAUUUUAUAAAUAAUUAAUUAUUUAUUGCUUAAAAAUAUUUAAAAUUUAUAUUUCAUAUGUAAUGAGCCAAAAUUGCCCGGCCCAAAACCCAUAAACAAUAAACAAAAAAGGGAUCAAAACAGUCUAAUUUUUAAGCCUAAAAUACAAAAAAAAUAUAAACCCAAAACAAACCCCAACCCUUUCUUGCGCCGUUCCAGCAGGCCACACGCCUCCCCCGCGUGCCGGACGCCAUCACCCCGCAACGUGCGCCGCUCCACCACGCCACGUCGGAGUCGUGCUUGAUCACGCACCUGUAAACAGGCAAGAAACAGUUGUAAAAAAGGCUAUAAAAGCCUUCGAAAACAUUUGUAAAAGGGAUCGAUUUUUUUUUUUACAAAAAGAAUACAAGAGAAAUAUAAUACAAGAUACACACGAAAAUCAGUAGAAAAGCGACCAAGAAUAUUUUUAAGGUGAUUAUUUACUGCAAUUUUGUUCUAUUUUUCUUUUUUUUUCUUUUUUUUUUCAUUUAGAUCCAUAGCACAUACGAAAGAUCGAAGAGGAGAAGAGGCUUACCGUGCAUUGUGCUCGCACCGUUGGAGGACCUUGCUUCACCGGUUACAAGCGGGUGGGGGGGUUGAAGGCCUGGACACUAGCCUAUCGGCUGGGAAAUAAGGAGAUUGAGGGAAUGGAGAAAAUAAUAAGAAACUUUUAGGGUUUUUUAAGAUCUUCUUAAAUGUUUUAAAAAAUAUAUAUAUAAAAUAAAGGUUUUUUUCUUAAAUUUUGAAAUAGCCAUAUUUUGGGGGGAAGAAAGAAGCCCGCGUGGUGACUCGAUUAAUAGGCCGGGUCCGCGCAUUUUUACCUUAAAUGGGUAAUUUUGGCGCU